GUGGUGGUGCAUGGCCGUU
rnacentral:ncRNA from 3 species